GGAACUUCUUCAUAGUAUGGACACAGGGGGCAGCAGUGAGCUCAUGUCGACUUGUUGCGCGGCUAACUAGACGCAAAGAAGAUGGCGCUCUCGAAACCACACUUUCACACUCUACGCGAAGGCCGCAGAAGCAUCUUCAUGGGCCAGUAAACAGUUUUCUUGCUGACCCGCACCUGCUCCUCACCGGAAGAGAGGAGACCGCUAACAGGUAACAAGAAACUGACGCAGGGGGGACUCAGAGUUAAUUACGGACUUACUGUGGAAUGAUCUCCAGUGAACCAUGGCACUGGUGAAAUGUUUUAAUCAGACGCGUAAAUGGAAUAAUUCUAUCAGUCAAUUUGGUCUUGUCUUUAUUUUUACACGGGUGAUUAACUAUGUUACCAGUUGUUCAACUGGCAGGGUGGAUUAACUGGAUUAGAUGUUCUGUGUAUGCGUGUGUGCGUGUGUGUGCACACAUCAGUUCGAGUGUGUGUGUAUGCGCGUGUAAUUCCAAUUAAUGAUAGUUUGGCAGGCUAAAAGUCAAUCAGAGGCAUAAACAUAGCACAGAGAAAGGGACUUGACUUAAGCAGAGCAAGAGAACGGACAUUAUACCUGACCACAUGACCUUUGACCCCUUUAAUAGCCUGACCGAUUGGUAGCAGGAGAUAGGAUGAGGAUCACCUUGAGCAUUUAUUAUUGUGUUACCUGCAUGUUCACUUAAGUCAGGAACAGCUUACAAGUAUGGAGAGGCUGUCUAUAGAGCCGACGUCAUCGACACUGUCUAUAUUCUUUGCAGCCUUUAUUGCUGUGAGCUGCUCGGUAAACGUGUCGCUAUGCUGUCUCUUUCCCAACUCUUAUCAGGCCAGAUAGCCUUCAGAUAGACACUCCUACCCGCAUAGUCAGAAGCUCAGCUAGCCACAGCAGCUGAUGGAGCCGAUGCAAGGCGACAAGAGGACAGGGCCUUAUCUGUCAUCCUGGUGGAAUGAUGACAAUCUGCGCUUGGCUUUGUGUUUUCUUACAAGACUGCUAAAAUGUACACCUGUUCAGGCAUGUAAGCAGACAGAAUAAUCAGGUGCACCACCAGGUCCAGAAGAAAACUGCAAAUAUAAGUGCAUAAUAUUGUUUGUUCGUAACUGUGCUGGCCAUGUUUGUCUUGAGCGUCUUCUCAACCAGUGAGUCGACACAGACAAGCAAACGAUCACGGUCAUGCAGAAACCGCAGGGAAGCGAGUUCAUGUCACUGGCCCGUUUUUUUUGACUCAUCGUGCUCUCACCGCGGUGUCUUUUCUUUCCGACAAAUAUGACAGAUGCAUAUCAAGCUGUGCAGUCUGCUCAGGAGAGAUAAGGACCAGUUAGGCGCUGGGGUUGCAACAUCCCACUGAGCCAAUGAGUGAGCAUAACGCCUUUUUCAUACCGAUCCUCAACAGAUAGGCCUGCAACGCGCGUGUGAGUGUAUGCAUGUGUGAUGCCCCUGAUAAUUUCUGUCUCCACUGAAUUCUGGCAUCUACUCUGUAAUAGUUACUGGUCUGCACAUGUCUCCUGUCCCAAAAGCAAAACAAAAAUUGAACAAGGAGAGACAGUUGGAGAGCAGGUUGUCCGUCCGAUGCAUGCAUAUUAAGGUUAUCGAUGUGAUGCAUGUUGCACAUCUCACUUGCUUUGUUUAUCAGAAAAAGGGGAUGUUAAUUACAAAGUGCUAAACAUUUGCUUACUAUCAGGAAAGAAUAAAACAUUGAUCUGUAGAUAUCAAAAACUUUCUCUCACACUUCUUUAUCUGCUGUUUGGAUCUUAUAGAGAUCCUAACCUCCAAGGCCCUUAGAAAUGACUCAUCUUUCUAAUUUUUCUCCAA